rnacentral:rRNA from 1 species
UACGGGGGGAGCAAGCGUUGUUCGGAUUUACUGGGCAUAAAGGGCGCGUAGGCGGCCACCGCAAGUCGACUGUGAAAUCUCCGGGCUUAACCCGGAAAGGUCAGCCGAUACUGCGGGGCUAGAGUGCAGAAGGGGCAACUGGAAUUCUCGGUGUAGCGGUGAAAUGUGUAGAUAUCGAGAGGAACACCUGCGGCGAAGGCGGGUUGCUGGGCUGACACUGACGCUGAGGCGCGAAAGCUAGGGGAGCGAACGGG